rnacentral:rRNA from 1 species
AGUGAACGCUGGCGGUAGGCCUAACACAUGCAAGUCGAACGGCAGCACAGUAAGAGCUUGCUCUUACGGGUGGCGAGUGGCGGACGGGUGAGGAAUACAUCGGAAUCUACUUUUUCGUGGGGGAUAACGUAGGGAAACUUACGCUAAUACCGCAUACGACCUACGGGUGAAAGCAGGGGAUCUUCGGACCUUGCGCGAUUGAAUGAGCCGAUGUCGGAUUAGCUAGUUGGCGGGGUAAAGGCCCACCAAGGCGACGAUCCGUAGCUGGUCUGAGAGGAUGAUCAGCCACACCGGAACUGAGACACGGUCCAGACUCCUACGGGAGGCAGCAGUGGGGAAUAUUGGGCAAUGGGCGCAAGCCUGAUCCAGCCAUACCGCGUGGGUGAAGAAGGCCUUCGGGUUGUAAAGCCCUUUUGUUGGGAAAGAAAAGCAGCAGGUUAAUACCCCGCUGUUCUGACGGUACCCAAAGAAUAAGCACCGGCUAACUUCGUG